AGAACGAACGCUGGCGGCGUGCUUAACACAUGCAAGUCGAACGCGAAAGGGACUUCGGUCCUGAGUAAAGUGGCGCACGGGUGAGUAACGCGUAGAUAACCUGUCUUCAUGUCUGGAAUAAUACGCCGAAAGGGGUACUAAUACCGGAUAUUCUUGCUUUUCAUAAGUUAUGCAAGCAAAGGUGGCCUCUGCAUAUGCUACUGCAUGAAGAGGGGUCUGCGUACCAUUAGCUAGUAGGUGGGGUAAUGGCCUACCUAGGCGACGAUGGUUAGCGGGUCUGAGAGGAUGAUCCGCCACACUGGCACUGGAACACGGGCCAGACUCCUACGGGAGGCAGCAGUGAGGAAUAUUGCGCAAUGGGGGAAACCCUGACGCAGCGACGCCGCGUGAGUGAAGGAAGGCCUUCGGGUCGUAAAGCUCUGUCGAGAGGAAAGAAGUGUACAAUGGCUAAUACCUGUUGUAUUUGACGGUACCUCUAAAGGAAGCACCGGCUAACUCCGUGCCAGCCGCAGC
rnacentral:rRNA from 1 species